GACGAACGCUGGCGGCGUGCUUAACACAUGCAAGUCGAGCGGUAAGGCCCUUUCGGGGGUACGACGAGCGGCGAACGGGUAGGAGUAACAACGUGGGUGACCUCGCCCUCCAGCUCUGGGAGUAAAGCCUGGGAAACGUAGGGUCGUAAUAACUGGAUAUGACUCCACGGUGCAUGUCGUGGGGUGGAAAGCCUUGUGCGGCUGAGGAUGGGCCCGCGGCCUAUCAGCUUGUUGGUGGGGGGAU
rnacentral:rRNA from 1 species